GCCAGGCAUAGUGGUGUGUGCCCGUAGUCCCAGCUACUUAGGAGGCUGAGGUGGGAGGAUUGCUUGAGCCCGGGAGGUUGAGGCUGCAGUGAGCUGAGAUCAUACCACUGCACUCUAGCCUGGGUGACAGAGCGAGACCCUGUCUCAA
rnacentral:SRP_RNA from 2 species